rnacentral:rRNA from 1 species
AUUGAACGCUGGCGGCAGGCUUAACACAUGCAAGUCGAGCGGAGCGAGGGUGCUUGCACCUUAGCUUAGCGGCGGACGGGUGAGUAAUGCUUAGGAAUCUGCCUAUUAGUGGGGGACAACAUUCCGAAAGGAAUGCUAAUACCGCAUACGCCCUACGGGGGAAAGCAGGGGAUCUUCGGACCUUGCGCUAAUAGAUGAGCCUAAGUCGGAUUAGCUAGUUGGUGGGGUAAAGGCCUACCAAGGCGACGAUCUGAAGCGGGUCUGAGAGGAUGAUCCGCCACACUGGGACUGAGACACGGCCCAGACUCCUACGGGAGGCAGCAGUGGGGAAUAUUGGACAAUGGGGGGAACCCUGAUCCAGCCAUGCCGCGUGUGUGAAGAAGGCCUUAUGGUUGUAAAGCACUUUAAGCGAGGAGGAGGCUCUUUUGGUUAAUACCCAAGAUGAGUGGACGUUACUCGCAGAAUAAGCACCGGCUAACUCUGUGCCAGCAGCCGCCGUAAGAC